rnacentral:rRNA from 1 species
UACGUAGGGGGCAAGCGUUGUCCGGAUUUAUUGGGCGUAAAGCGCACGCAGGCGGUGCGGUAAGUUACAAGUGACAGGUGGUGGCUUAACUGCCACAGGACUUGAAAAACUGCCGCACUAGAGUACUGGAGAGGGUAACGGAAUUCACGGUGUAGCAGUGAAAUGCGUAGAUAUCGUGAGGAACACCAGAGGCGAAGGCGGUUACCUGGACAGUUACUGACGCUCAGGCACGAAAGCAUGGGGAGCAAAAGGG